rnacentral:rRNA from 1 species
UGGGGAAUAUUGCACAAUGGGCGCAAGCCUGAUGCAGCCAUGCCGCGUGUAUGAAGAAGGCCUUCGGGUUGUAAAGUACUUUCAGCGAGGAGGAAGGCGUUGUGGUUAAUAACCACAACGAUUGACGUUACUCGCAGAAGAAGCACCGGCUAACUCCGUGCCAGCAGCCGCGGUAAUACGGAGGGUGCAAGCGUUAAUCGGAAUUACUGGGCGUAAAGCGCACGCAGGCGGUCUGUCAAGUCGGAUGUGAAAUCCCCGGGCUCAACCUGGGAACUGCAUCCGAAACUGGCAGGCUAGAGUCUUGUAGAGGGGGGUAGAAUUCCAGGUGUAGCGGUGAAAUGCGUAGAGAUCUGGAGGAAUAUCGGUGGCGAAGGCGGCCCCCUGGACAAAGACUGACGCUCAGGUGCGAAAGCGUGGGGAGCAAACA